UGACCACAAUAUUACUGCUCAUUGUUCCUGCCAAUAUCAGAAAUGUUAAUGACUCUUAGAGUCGAGUAUAAAAUGUGCAAUACUUUCAAUUUUGAAAUCAUUCUCAAUAGUUCAUCACUUGAGAAAACGUUUAACAAAAAAUUAAAACUUCAAAAAUGAAACUGAUCGCUGUUAUCUUGGGUGUCAUGUUGGUUUCGCUUCCCUACAUUUCGGCCUGUUCUCAAGGUUGGGCCAGUGACGGCGUUGCCGCUGCAAAUAGAAUGAAACAAAGAAGACAACAGGGCUGUUAAGGCUGCCAAAAGGGUCACUUUGAAUGGAUUCCGACAAAAAAUAAACCAUGAAAUCAAUCGAAGCAAUUUAAUAAAAUAGAUAAUCUGAAAAGUUA